CUGAACUCUGGUAUAAUUUCUCCCAGGAAGGAAGUAAGAUAUCACGCACAUGUAUAAUGAGGAAGACAAACCAGUUGAAAUGGAUAGAUAUUAAUAAUUGGGGUUUAACAUGGUAUCAAAGUUGGGGCUUGGAACAUCCAGAUCAAACCACCAUCAGAAUUCCACUUUUUCUGACGAGGAAAAAUAAUAAUGUAUCAGAAAAACAAAAAAGUUACCACGAAAAAGCCCAGUUGCUGGAAUUCUAAAUUAAUGGUUUGGGCCGGAACUUACAUUUGUACAUUUCAGCAUAUAUCUGACGACUGACAUUACCAUUCCAUUACCAGCACUUCUUCUUCCUCCAUCAAGAACGACGUAAAUGCAUUAUUUCUAUGACCUAGCUUAACUCAAAAAUACUAAUAUUUAAUACAGAAUAGUUAUAACGUUAUAUAUAUAUAUAUAUAUAUAUAUAUAUAUAUAUUCUUACAAGAAUGUGUCUUAACACAACUCAAGAGCAGUAACAACCAGUAGCUCUUCUUGGAGGAGGAGGUUGACAGACGAGGAAGAUCAUCAUCGCCAAGACUAAAGCUAGCACCAGUGGCAUCAAUAUUUCAUCUGCAUCUGAGCAGCAGCCCAUUUUUAACUUUCAACUUCCAAUUCUUAGCCCUUUCUACGCUAGCUCAACAAUGUAUUAUGGUUUUAUAUAUAACAAUCUCAAAGUUGCAAGCAGCAAAGAACUUGUAGAGAGUGAGAAAAUGGAUGUUGGGCGAUAGGAAUAGCAAAUUCUUUAUUUUUCUUCCAAUGUUAAAAGGGAAAUAUAAGACAAGGGCCUUGAAGGUUCACCUAUCCACAAGAAGAGAAAAUAGCCAAUAAAAAAAUGACAUAUGUUGGUUCUAAAUUAAUUAAGGUGACCCCUUCACUCGCAAUUAUUUUGCUUUGGAUACUUUGCAUGCUUGUGAGUUG
rnacentral:lncRNA from 1 species